rnacentral:rRNA from 1 species
AGAGUUUGAUCCUGGCUCAGGAUGAACGCUGGCGGCGUGCCUAAUACAUGCAAGUCGAGCGAACGGACGAGAAGCUUGCUUCUCUGAUGUUAGCGGCGGACGGGUGAGUAACACGUGGAUAACCUACCUAUAAGACUGGGAUAACUUCGGGAAACCGGAGCUAAUACCGGAUAAUAUUUUGAACCGCAUGGUUCAAAAGUGAAAGACGGUCUUGCUGUCACUUAUAGAUGGAUCCGCGCUGCAUUAGCUAGUUGGUAAGGUAACGGCUUACCAAGGCAACGAUGCAUAGCCGACCUGAGAGGGUGAUCGGCCACACUGGAACUGAGACACGGUCCAGACUCCUACGGGAGGCAGCAGUAGGGAAUCUUCCGCAAUGGGCGAAAGCCUGACGGAGCAACGCCGCGUGAGUGAUGAAGGUCUUCGGAUCGUAAAACUCUGUUAUUAGGGAAGAACAUAUGUGUAAGUAACUGUGCACAUCUUGACGGUACCUAAUCAGAAAGCCACGGCUAACUACGUGCCAGCAGCCGCGGUAAUACGUAGGUGGCAAGCGUUAUCCGGAAUUAUUGGGCGUAAAGCGCGCGUAGGCGGUUUUUUAAGUCUGAUGUGAAAGCCCACGGCUCAACCGUGGAGGGUCAUUGGAAACUGGAAAACUUGAGUGCAGAAGAGGAAAGUGGAAUUCCAUGUGUAGCGGUGAAAUGCGCAGAGAUAUGGAGGAACACCAGUGGCGAAGGCGACUUUCUGGUCUGUAACUGACGCUGAUGUGCGAAAGCGUGGGGAUCAAACAGGAUUAGAUACCCUGGUAGUCCACGCCGUAAACGAUGAGUGCUAAGUGUUAGGGGGUUUCCGCCCCUUAGUGCUGCAGCUAACGCAUUAAGCACUCCGCNNNNNNNNNNNNNNNNNNNNNNNNNNNNNACUAUCCAUAAAUUGAGGGUAUGUUUGUUUGUAAAACUGAAGCAAAAAGCGUAAGGAAUUACACUUUAAAUACAUAUAGUACUUACGAAUAGAAAAUAAUCCCUUCAACAGUAAUUUUUAAACAAAAAUAAGUGUUGUUUUAUGUUGACUCUACUAGAAUA